rnacentral:sRNA from 1 species
CCUGCACCCGCUCAUUCCUGGUCGCUGUGACCUUGUGUAACCCUUGAUGUUCUUCCACUCUGUGCUCCACACUUGUGUAGUUUCUAACAAUUCUUCUGCAUAGCUCUUAACAUUCUUCCACUCUGUGCUCUGUGCUCAUGUAGUCUCUAACAAUUCUUCCAUGUAGCUUCUAACAUUCUCUCACUCUGUGUUCCACACUCAUAUAGUCUCUAACAAUUCUUUCAUGUAGCUCUCAAUGAUUCUCCCAUCUCACACUCUGCACUUAUAUAGUCUCUAACAAUUCUUACACAUAUUUUUUAAUGUUCUUCUGCUCUGUGCUUCACUGUGGAGUGACUUCUGAUAUUCUUUCACUCUGAACUUUUCUCUAUAAGAAUUCUCUUUGUAUAAUUUUUUCUUCUGAUUUCUUUUCUCUUUCUUUUCUUAAUCAAUUCAUAAUCUGUAAUUAGAAUAGUAUCAAAUCAUUAAUCAAAAUACAC